CUUGAAAUGGGCUGAGUCCCUCUUGCUCACCCUUGACUUGGAAAAACCAGUUUCUCUUUUAUUGUCUGUUGCUAAUCUCUAUUCUAAAAAUUCAGCUCAAUUCUCAACCAUACUCCAAACUCUCUCCUUUCCAGCUGCCUUUACUCUCUCUCCUUCAAUUCCACUUUCCUCUGCUUUCAUUUUUUUUUUUUUUUCAGACAGGGUCUCACUUUGUCACCCAGGCAGGAGUGCAGCGGCUCAAUCUUGGGCUCACUGCAGUCUCAACCUCCCAGGUUCAAGCGAUUCUUCUGCCUCAGCCCCUCAAGUAGCUGGGACUACAGGCACACACCACCACGCCUGACUAACUUUUUGUAUUUUUUUGUAGAGGCGGGGUUUCACCAUGUUGCCCAGACUGGUCUUGAACUCCUGAGCUUAAGCAAUCCACCUGCCUCGGCCUCCCAAAGUAUUGGGAUUACAGGUGUGAGCCACCGCAUCCGGCCUCAUGUUCUUUUUCAUUAAAGAGAGAAAUCAACUAUUCAGGACCGGCCCCCACCUUUCCUCAGGAGUCAUUUCUGUUCUGCACAGGCCUGCUGAACUGGGUGCUUUAUAUAGGGUAAGUGUUACUCAUUUUUUGUUCCCUGUCCUCAAGUCUUAGGGGCAAAAGAAACAUCCAAGAUUUGAAAUUCUUUUUCUUCUUCUCAUCUGCAUGGCUGUAGCCAUCUCUUUGUUCUGCAUUAUCUUAUGACAAAAGAAAAAAUUCUUAUUUUGAAUCAAACUCAAAGCUAGGUCCUGAUAUCUCAAGGCACAGGUACUCGUACUUAAAGGUGAGUCUGAAAUCUGUGGAUUUGAGGAGCUUUGGAAAAACAAAGAUGAGUGGCUAGAUCAGGGGGCUCAUUGGGCAGGAAGAGGAGACUGGAAAAUGCCAUAUUCACUGCAAGUCAAUUAUCAACUUCCUCCAAGGCUAAAAUAGCUGAACCUGCUGCAUUUUAAACCAAUCCUCAGCCACUUUUGUGUUUUCUCAAGGAUUUCCAGGGAUCCCAGGCAGUAAAUCCUGCUGAUAAUAGGAAUUGGUGUGAUAAGGUGGGUGCUGAGCAGUUUAAGCACCAAGACUGUAGCUCUGUCUGGUUUUGUGGAGAUUUACUCAACUAGAAGAACAGAGAUUUGGCUGGUUUUUCAGUCCUGGGGUGCAGGGUGCAGCUAUACUGGAAAAUUUAGGACCUGGUUUCAUUCUCUGAGUCUCAUGUUCAAGUUGUUUUUAAUGUUAUGAAGACACUUGGGACGUAAUCCUGAGGGCAGCUGGGGGGAAGAGAGUGGUCACUGGAUGGACUUACCCUGUAGCGAGCCCAUGCAUGGUUUGUUCUCUGAUGGUGCAUGUGCUUGGCUAUAGACCCAUGUAACCAUGGUGAAGGCCACUGGGGGAUUCAGUUGGCAAAGGCAUAGUGGGCAGAAGAAUCUUGAACACAGAGUCCAGAUCAGGUCAAGUCUCCUGAUACAGGUUCUGACUCAUGGUUUUUUGUCUCUGCCUAUAGCAGCUACAGGUCUGUAAAGCAAGGGUAGAGUGAUAAGGGAAGAACUCACCUUUUUGGGGCUCUCUGACAUUAAUGCCACCUCUCAUUUGCUUUUUGCAGGCACUGUCAUCUCUCAAGUACCCAUCGUGGAGGGUACGGACCCCACAUGAGGGUGAGGCUCUCUGCACACUCCAGAGUGAGGACUUUAAUAAUCUAGUGGACUGUACAUGUUGGGAGGGGAAGAGCGGGGUGCCGAGGGUCUGGAGGGAGAAGAAUUGACUUCCCCUUUUGCUCUUGGAGUUAAGCAGAAAUCUAAAGAGAAGGCAAAGAAUCUUGCCUUCCUGGCAUCAUUUCCUCCUACCAUCCCAGGCCAUCAUUUAUUUAUUACAGCCAACAGACUGGCCUCUUUCUUCCCUUUGACUGGGAAUGGGUCAAAGGCAGUGCAGGAGGAGUAUCUGGUCCAGAUAAUUCACAAGCAGGGUGCAUUUUCCUCUCAUUAUUGAAAACUGUGAGUGUUUAUCAAGGAGGCAGAGUGGGAGAAGAUGAACCAGUCUUCUUCCCCUCACUACCCAGAUUUCUGCCUCCCAACAAGCCCCGUGUUCACCCUGGCAAAGAGUCUUUACAUUCAGACCAAGGAGAGUGUGACUCCUUCUCAGCACUAGCCAGAAACCUCAAGCCCUUGCUUAAGGGCCUUUUUUAGAGAGACCCAAUGCCCAGAAGGCUAGAUGCGUGGGGAGGAGCCACAUGCGAGAAUCUGCCUCCCUGCUUCAGGUCAGAACAAGCCCCAGGAAGAAAGUAUUUCAAACAACAAGGUGCAUCUGCCCCAACCCAUCCAGCCUGCAUGUUGGUGCUGAGAACAGCCUUUUAUGGGGCUUGCACUAAGCCAUGGGCAUGUCUGAACACAACAAGGAAGAGGCCAGAACAGCAACUGCACGCAAAGGGUUGAUGGGCAUUUCUUUUAAGAGAGGGCAGAAAACUCUUAGCUACUUUGCGUCCUUCCUGUUUGACUCAGUCUAUGAAAGCCAGGUUAGCUUUCUUUCUUCCUCCCUAAAUCCUCCAUCCUCAUGCCCAACAAAGAAAUAGUUGAAUCAUUUUCCAGGCACAUCUGGGGGAGGAUGUGGGGCCAUUGGAGGCUGUCCUUCCUAGAUAAGUCUUUAGGAGUGAGAACAAGGAGUCUUACCCUCCUCUGUCCACCCACUCCCAUGAAUGGGCCUGGCUCCAGCCGGGAGUUGUGGUUUUUCCUGAGCUCCUCACCUAUCUCUUCUGGAUUUCACACUGGCAAACAGGGCUGCAAAGUGCUCUUCAUGCUCUUUGGACAGUGCCUUGUGGAGAGGAAUGCCCAUGCCCCUGCAUUCCACGGCCUUGGUAAGCAAGCUCAGAGUAGCUGGAUUUUUCUAAAGCAAUUGCAGAAUACCUGCUUUUUCUCUGUUUCCUCUAGAAAGGACCAACCACCUCGAGCUCAGUUAUGGCACAAACAGUGGGACCUAGACAAAGGGAGAGGGUGACCAGCAUCCCAACUAGAUUUCAGUGGAGUGAAGUUCAGGAGGCAUGGAGCUGACGACCACGAGGCCUCGGCAGCCACCGCCGCUGCCGCCACCACCACCGCCGCCGCCGCCGCCGCCGCAGCAGCAAGAGUAACUCUGACUUAGGAAUAGAGACAGCCGGAGAGAAAUGUGAUCAAUGAAGGAGACAUGUGGAGUGUGCGUGCUUCUUCAGAGGGACUGGUGAUGGGCAGACUGGAAAAAGCACUGCAGAUGGGAACAUUAAUCUUUCUUUUCUAAAAUUGAUGCUAUGAAAAUUUGCGUUUUCUGUAACUUGUAAAAACUAAAAGUUGCUUGUCUACUG
rnacentral:sRNA from 1 species